rnacentral:rRNA from 1 species
UGCGUCCGAUUAGGCAGCAGCGGGGCAACGGCCCGACCCUGGCCUUCGAUCGGUAGGGUUCUGAGAGGAAGGUCCCCACAUUGGAACUGAGACACGGUCCAAACUCCUACGGGAGGCAGCAGUGAGGAAUAUUGGUCAAUGGGCGGGAGCCUGAACCAGCCAAGUAGCGUGCGGGAUGACGGCCCUACGGGUUGUAAACCGCUUUUUGUACGGGAAUAAAGGUGCCCACGUGUGGGUGUUUUGCAUGUACCGUAAGAAUAAGGACCGGCUAAUUCCGUGCC